rnacentral:rRNA from 1 species
AUUGAACGCUGGCGGCAGGCUUAACACAUGCAAGUCGAGCGGGGUGAUGGUGCUUGCACUAUCACUUAGCGGCGGACGGGCGAGUAAUGCUUAGGAAUCUGCCUAUUAGUGGGGGACAACAUCUCGAAAGGGAUGCUAAUACCGCAUACGUCCUACGGGAGAAAGCAGGGGAUCACUUGUGACCUUGCGCUAAUAGAUGAGCCUAAGUCGGAUUAGCUAGUUGGUGGGGUAAAGGCCUACCAAGGCGACGAUCUGUAGCGGGUCUGAGAGGAUGCUACGCCACACUGGGACUGAGGCACGGCCGCGACUGCUACGGGAGGCGGCAGUGGGGAAUGUUGGACAAUGGGGGGAACCCUGAUCCAGCCAUGCCGCGUGUGCGAAGAAGGCCUUAUGGUUGUAAAGCACUUUAGGCGAGGAGGAGGCUCUUUUAGUUAAUACCCAAGAUGAGUGGACGUUACUCGCAGAAUAAGCACCGGCUAACUCUGUGCCAGCCGCCGCAGUAA